rnacentral:tRNA from 1 species
GGAGGAUACAGCUCAAAUGGUAGAGUGCAUGCUUAGCAUGCACGAGGUCCUGGGUUCAAUCUCCAGUACCUCCU